UGGACCCGCGCCGUAUUAGCUAGUUGGUGGGGUAACGGCCUACCAAGGCGACGAUACGUAGCCGACCUGAGAGGGUGAUCGGCCACACUGGAACUGAGACACGGUCCAGACUCCUACGGGAGGCAGCAGUAGGGAAUCUUCCGCAAUGGGCGAAAGCCUGACGGAGCAACGCCGCGUGAGUGAUGAAGGUCUUCGGAUCGUAAAGCUCUGUUGUUAGGGAAGAACAAAUGUGUAAGUAACUGUGCACAUCUUGACGGUACCUAACCAGAAAGCCACGGCUAACUACGUGCCAGCAGCCGCGGUAAUACGUAGGUGGCAAGCGUUAUCCGGAAUUAUUGGGCGUAAAGCGCGCGUAGGCGGUUUUUUAAGUCUGAUGUGAAAGCCCACGGCUCAACCGUGGAGGGUCAUUGGAAACUGGAAAACUUGAGUGCAGAAGAGGAAAGUGGAAUUCCAUGUGUAGCGGUGAAAUGCGCAGAGAUAUGGAGGAACACCAGUGGCGAAGGCGGCUUUCUGGUCUGCAACUGACGCUGAUGUGCGAAAGCGUGGGGAUCAAACAGGAUUAGAUACCCUGGUAGUCCACGCCGUAAACGAUGAGUGCUAAGUGUUAGGGGGUUUCCGCCCCUUAGUGCUGCAGCUAACGCAUUAAGCACUCCGCCUGGGGAGUACGGUCGCAAGACUGAAACUCAAAGGAAUUGACGGGGACCCGCACAAGCGGUGGAGCAUGUGGUUUAAUUCGAAGCAACGCGAAGAACCUUACCAAAUCUUGACAUCCUUUGACCGCUCUAGAGAUAGAGUUUUCCUCUUCGGAGGACAAAGUGACAGGUGGUGCAUGGUUGUCGUCAGCUCGUGUCGUGAGAUGUUGGGUUAAGUCCCGCAACGAGCGCAACCCUUGAACUUAGUUGCCAUCAUUCAGUUGGGCACUCUAAGUUGACUGCCGGUGACAAACCGGAGGAAGGUGGGGAUGACGUCAAAUCAUCAUGCCCCUUAUGAUUUGGGCUACACACGUGCUACAAUGGACAAUACAAAGGGCAGCGAAACCGCGAGGUCAAGCAAAUCCCAUAAAGUUGUUCUCAGUUCGGAUUGUAGUCUGCAACUCGACUACAUGAAGCUGGAAUCGCUAGUAAUCGUAGAUCAGCAUGCUACGGUGAAUACGUUCCCGGGUCUUGUACACACCGCCCGUCACACCACGAGAGUUUGUAACACCCGAAGCCGGUGGAGUAACCAUUUUGGAGCUAGCCGUCGAAGGUGGGACAAAUGAUUGGGGUGAAGUCGUAACAAGGUAGCCGUAUCGGAAGGUGCGGCUGGAUCACCUCCUUUCUA
rnacentral:rRNA from 1 species